rnacentral:rRNA from 1 species
UACGUAGGCAGCGAGCGUUGUUCGGAAUUACUGGGCGUAAAGAGUGUGUAGGCGGUGUUCCCAGUCUGUUGUGAAAUCUCCCGGCUUAACUGGGAGGGUGCAGCGGAAACUAGAAUGCUAGAGGGUGGGAGAGGUAAGCGGAAUUCCUGGUGUAGCGGUGAAAUGCGCAGAUAUCAGGAAGAACACCCGUGGCUAAGGCGGCUCUCUAGUACGGUACUGACGCUGAGACGCGAAAGCGUGGGGAGCGAACAGG